GACUUUGGUGAUUUAGCUGUAUGUUUGAAUGCAAUCCAACCACAUACAGCUUUAUCACCAAAAAC
rnacentral:pre_miRNA from 1 species